GGGUUGUGAGGUUAAGCGACUAAGCGUACACGGUGGAUGCCCUGGCAGUCAGAGGCGAUGAAGGACGUGCUAAUCUGCGAUAAGCGUCGGUAAGGUGAUAUGAACCGUUAUAACCGGCGAUUUCCGAAUGGGGAAACCCAGUGUGUUUCGACACACUAUCAUUAACUGAAUCCAUAGGUUAAUGAGGCGAACCGGGGGAACUGAAACAUCUAAGUACCCCGAGGAAAAGAAAUCAACCGAGAUUCCCCCAGUAGCGGCGAGCGAACGGGGAGCAGCCCAGAGCCUGAAUCAGUGUGUGUGUUAGUGGAAGCGUCUGGAAAGGCGCGCGAUACAGGGUGACAGCCCCGUACACAAAAAUGCACAUGCUGUGAGCUCGAUGAGUAGGGCGGGACACGUGGUAUCCUGUCUGAAUAUGGGGGGACCAUCCUCCAAGGCUAAAUACUCCUGACUGACCGAUAGUGAACCAGUACCGUGAGGGAAAGGCGAAAAGAACCCCGGCGAGGGGAGUGAAAAAGAACCUGAAACCGUGUACGUACAAGCAGUGGGAGCACGCUUCGGCGUGUGACUGCGUACCUUUUGUAUAAUGGGUCAGCGACUUAUAUUCUGUAGCAAGGUUAACCGAAUAGGGGAGCCGAAGGGAAACCGAGUCUUAACUGGGCGUUAAGUUGCAGGGUAUAGACCCGAAACCCGGUGAUCUAGCCAUGGGCAGGUUGAAGGUUGGGUAACACUAACUGGAGGACCGAACCGACUAAUGUUGAAAAAUUAGCGGAUGACUUGUGGCUGGGGGUGAAAGGCCAAUCAAACCGGGAGAUAGCUGGUUCUCCCCGAAAGCUAUUUAGGUAGCGCCUCGUGAAUUCAUCUCCGGGGGUAGAGCACUGUUUCGGCAAGGGGGUCAUCCCGACUUACCAACCCGAUGCAAACUGCGAAUACCGGAGAAUGUUAUCACGGGAGACACACGGCGGGUGCUAACGUCCGUCGUGAAGAGGGAAACAACCCAGACCGCCAGCUAAGGUCCCAAAGUCAUGGUUAAGUGGGAAACGAUGUGGGAAGGCCCAGACAGCCAGGAUGUUGGCUUAGAAGCAGCCAUCAUUUAAAGAAAGCGUAAUAGCUCACUGGUCGAGUCGGCCUGCGCGGAAGAUGUAACGGGGCUAAACCAUGCACCGAAGCUGCGGCAGCGACGCUUAUGCGUUGUUGGGUAGGGGAGCGUUCUGUAAGCCUGUGAAGGUGUGCUGUGAGGCAUGCUGGAGGUAUCAGAAGUGCGAAUGCUGACAUAAGUAACGAUAAAGCGGGUGAAAAGCCCGCUCGCCGGAAGACCAAGGGUUCCUGUCCAACGUUAAUCGGGGCAGGGUGAGUCGACCCCUAAGGCGAGGCCGAAAGGCGUAGUCGAUGGGAAACAGGUUAAUAUUCCUGUACUUGGUGUUACUGCGAAGGGGGGACGGAGAAGGCUAUGUUGGCCGGGCGACGGUUGUCCCGGUUUAAGCGUGUAGGCUGGUUUUCCAGGCAAAUCCGGAAAAUCAAGGCUGAGGCGUGAUGACGAGGCACUACGGUGCUGAAGCAACAAAUGCCCUGCUUCCAGGAAAAGCCUCUAAGCAUCAGGUAACAUCAAAUCGUACCCCAAACCGACACAGGUGGUCAGGUAGAGAAUACCAAGGCGCUUGAGAGAACUCGGGUGAAGGAACUAGGCAAAAUGGUGCCGUAACUUCGGGAGAAGGCACGCUGAUAUGUAGGUGAAGCGACUUGCUCGUGGAGCUGAAAUCAGUCGAAGAUACCAGCUGGCUGCAACUGUUUAUUAAAAACACAGCACUGUGCAAACACGAAAGUGGACGUAUACGGUGUGACGCCUGCCCGGUGCCGGAAGGUUAAUUGAUGGGGUUAGCGCAAGCGAAGCUCUUGAUCGAAGCCCCGGUAAACGGCGGCCGUAACUAUAACGGUCCUAAGGUAGCGAAAUUCCUUGUCGGGUAAGUUCCGACCUGCACGAAUGGCGUAAUGAUGGCCAGGCUGUCUCCACCCGAGACUCAGUGAAAUUGAACUCGCUGUGAAGAUGCAGUGUACCCGCGGCAAGACGGAAAGACCCCGUGAACCUUUACUAUAGCUUGACACUGAACAUUGAGCCUUGAUGUGUAGGAUAGGUGGGAGGCUUUGAAGUGUGGACGCCAGUCUGCAUGGAGCCGACCUUGAAAUACCACCCUUUAAUGUUUGAUGUUCUAACGUUGACCCGUAAUCCGGGUUGCGGACAGUGUCUGGUGGGUAGUUUGACUGGGGCGGUCUCCUCCUAAAGAGUAACGGAGGAGCACGAAGGUUGGCUAAUCCUGGUCGGACAUCAGGAGGUUAGUGCAAUGGCAUAAGCCAGCUUGACUGCGAGCGUGACGGCGCGAGCAGGUGCGAAAGCAGGUCAUAGUGAUCCGGUGGUUCUGAAUGGAAGGGCCAUCGCUCAACGGAUAAAAGGUACUCCGGGGAUAACAGGCUGAUACCGCCCAAGAGUUCAUAUCGACGGCGGUGUUUGGCACCUCGAUGUCGGCUCAUCACAUCCUGGGGCUGAAGUAGGUCCCAAGGGUAUGGCUGUUCGCCAUUUAAAGUGGUACGCGAGCUGGGUUUAGAACGUCGUGAGACAGUUCGGUCCCUAUCUGCCGUGGGCGCUGGAGAACUGAGGGGGGCUGCUCCUAGUACGAGAGGACCGGAGUGGACGCAUCACUGGUGUUCGGGUUGUCAUGCCAAUGGCACUGCCCGGUAGCUAAAUGCGGAAGAGAUAAGUGCUGAAAGCAUCUAAGCACGAAACUUGCCCCGAGAUGAGUUCUCCCUGACCCUUUAAGGGUCCUGAAGGAACGUUGAAGACGACGACGUUGAUAGGCCGGGUGUGUAAGCGCAGCGAUGCGUUGAGCUAACCGGUACUAAUGAACCGUGAGGCUUAACCUUACAACGCCGAAGCUGUU
rnacentral:rRNA from 1 species